CUAAUUUGGUUUCUUCUUUCUUUUCUUCUUCAAGAAUCCAAACCCGUGGGUACUAUUCAUCAAUUUAGAAGCUCCAUUUCGGAAGUUCUAAUCAGAAAACUUUCUCCAUGAAAGUUGUUCAUCUACUCGAGGACUAAAGCCUGUAAACUUUUGAGAAUUUUCUGAAUUUUUCUGAUGCCUUAAAAUGGGUCCGCAGCUUCUGUAUUCAUCAAUGGCUGGAGUUGUCGUAUAGCCAUGAGAAGAAGUUCUUGCAAGUCUUAGUUGCCGAAGUAUCCAUCUUCAGAAUGACCAAUUCUCAAGUAUGCCUGAAAAUAAUGAUGGUGCCAAAGUCUACGCAGAAGAACAUGGGGAUAAUUGCAAUGAUGGGUCAGCUGGUUGCAUAAAUAAUGAGAUCAACAAUGGUGCUGAAGGAGAUGGUAAUGUGAAAUAGAAGAUACGAUAUUCUUUUAGAACCAACUACCCCUCUCCCGGCACCAACUACCCUUCUUCUAGCACCAACUUCCCUUCUUCCAGCACCAACCUCCCUUCUUUAUUGGUGCAUUUGAGGUUGUCCUAUGAGGUGAUUGACAAGGUGUUCCCCUUAGCUUUAGCAAUAGCGCAUGGCGGCAUGAUUCCCAUAGCCCCCAUGUUCUUGGGACAUCCGAUGCAGCGGCAGACAAUGCCCUGCUCCUUCUAGCAGUGGUGCCUCAUACUCCUCUUCUCGGAACAUCUGACAUGACUGCUGACACUGCCCUGCACCUUCCAGCAGUGCUGCCUCCUACUCAUCCUCUUCUCAGAACAUGCGACAUAGCUGCCGGCGCUGCCUUGCAUCUUCCAGCGUGCUGCUUUCUACUUCUCCUUUUCUCGGAACAUCCAACAUAGCUGCCGGCACUGCCCUGCACCUUCUAGUAGUGUACCUCCUUUUAUUUCGCAGGUUGUUUUCUUUGGCUUGGGGUCAGUUGGCUCGGUGCACAGCUUCCAUAUUUCUUGAUAUCAUAGGAUGUACUAAUCUUCAGCAUGUGUAACUUUGUUUUUGCGAUGGCUGUGUACUUUUCAGAUAAUCUAACGACUAUGUCAUUAUGACUUUGUAAUGUACUACUGAACCACUGGAACUUGCAUUAAUUUCUGAAUGCUUGAGGCAUGUUGUAAUCCGUACAUCUUAUAUAUAUAUUGCUUGGU